rnacentral:rRNA from 1 species
GGAUUCCCCUAGUAACUGCGAGUGAAGCGGGAAAAGCUCAAAUUUAAAAUCUGGCGGUCCUUGGCCGUCCGAGUUGUAAUCUAGAGAAGUGUUACCCGCGUCGGACCGUGUACAAGUCUCCUGGAAUGGAGCGUCAUAGAGGGUGAGAAUCCCGUCUUUGACACGGACUACCGAGGCUUUGUGGUGCGCUCUCAAAGAGUCGAGUUGUUUGGGAAUGCAGCUCAAAAUGGGUGGUAAAUUCCAUCUAAAGCUAAAUAUUGGCGAGAGACCGAUAGCGAACAAGUACCGUGAGGGAAAGAUGAAAAGAACUUUGGAAAGAGAGUUAAACAGUACGUGAAAUUGCUGAAAGGGAAACGCUUGAAGUCAGUCGCGUCGUCCGGGAAUCAGCCUUCCUUCUGGUUGGUGUACUUCCUGGUCGACGGGCCAGCAUCAGUUUUGACCGGUGGAAAAAGUUCGAGGGAAUGUGGCACCUCCGGGUGUGUUAUAGCCCUCGUUCGUAUACAUCGGUUGGGACUGAGGAACUCAGCACGCCGCAAGGCCGGGAUUCGUCCACGUUCGUGCUUAGGAUGCUGGCAUAAUGGCUUUAAUCGACCCGUC